rnacentral:lncRNA from 1 species
GCAACCUGAACUCCUCUCCUGCCCUCUGCCAGAGAACAAGAAUCUCAGCAGUGGUGCUCGUGCACUUCUUUGACACUUCCGGAGAUGUUGCCCAGGAUCCCCUCCAACUUCUUUGUAAAGUGCCAAGACAAUCCCUCACAUUAGAAGGCAUCUAAGAAGAGAUGGCAUUAGUGACAGCUGGAUACAGAAGUAUAAGUGACAGCCUUGACUGUACACACAGAAGUUCAUUAGCAGAUGGGAGGAGGAAACAAGCAUUAAGAAUGAGUGAUGUAUGUGAUUCAAGGCAAUGGCAGGAGGAAGGUGAGUUCAAACCCUCACUUUCCCCACGCUCACUGCAGCUCUUCUCAGGAACACAAAGUGCUUGCAGUCCUGCUGUCAGCAGGCUGGAAAGUAUGUUGAAAGAACAUCUGCAGACCUGGAUGCUCACCUGGUAUUUCUUCUCUUAACUUCAUCCCUGCUAGAGGAUUCACUGUGUCAGUUCUAGGAAAUUUGGGAUGCCUACAGUGUGGUGCAUCUUCUUGCUCCUCCUGUUGCCUCUAAAGCCAUAUAUCACUGAAGCUAAUGUAAGAAUCCCAAUAUUAAACUUAAAAAUGAUAGAAAUAACUAAAGAUGACAUUGCAGAUACACUCUUAAUGGCAUUAGGACUCAUCUUAAGAUAGAAUCAUAGAAACUUCCUACCUUUUACUGAAUUUAUUUUACUCACUGAUUAAACUGUGAGACUGUCUUUCACGGGUCUUUCACUUAAGAUUUUCUCUGUUAGCAUCCAGCGUGCAUUUACAUGCUUGGACACAUUUUAUUUUCCUAAUCACUUUGCUCAGGAUUUUAUUUUAUUAACAAAUUGAGACUACUAAUUAAAGCAUUCAAGUUCC